UCACAUGGCCUAAGUGGUUACAGCGUCCGCCUCAGACGCCGGAAGUGGCGGGUUUGAAUCCCGACCAAGUCAUAUCAA